CUCCCCGAAAGCUAUUUAGGUAGCGCCUCGUGAAUUCAUCUUCGGGGGUAGAGCACUGUUUCGGCUAGGGGGUCAUCCCGACUUACCAACCCGAUGCAAACUACGAAUACCGAAGAAUGUUAUCACGGGAGACACACGGCGGGUGCUAACGUCCGUCGUGAAGAGGGAAACAACCCAGACCGCCAGCUAAGGUCCCAAAGUCAUGGUUAAGUGGGAAACGAUGUGGGAAGGCACAGACAGCCAGGAUGUUGGCUUAGAAGCAGCCAUCAUUAAAGAAAGCGUAAUAGCUCACUGGUCGAGUCGGCCUGCGCGGAAGAUGUAACGGGGCUAAACCAUGCACCGAAGCUGCGGCAGCGACACUAUGCGUUGUUGGGUAGGGGAGCGUUCUGUAAGCCUGCGAAGGUGUGCUGUGAGGCAUGCUGGAGGUAUCAGAAGUGCGAAUGCUGACAUAAGUAACGAUAAAG
rnacentral:rRNA from 1 species